CGGAGGAAAGGUAUUGGGAGCGGCGAGAGCAAGCACGACUUGUCUCAGCAGCAUCUCUCUCGUUUUUCGCUUUCUCGAACCGGAGUUGCUUGAAUCCUCCAUGAGUCCUGAGUGCUUCGUUUCACAAAGCAUAUGAAAAAAUAUCAAUGUUAGAGAGAGAACGAAGAGAGAGAGAGAGAGAGAGAGAGAGAGAGAGAGAGAGAGAGAGAGUACGUACGUAGCAAGAGUAGUGAAGAAAAGUGGAAUUGGGCUACAAAGAACCAGUGUAUAUGUGUAUUUAUAGGGAUUGUAACUUAAACGGUGCAAUUUCCCCAAACCCGUGCUUUAAUUUAAUUCAAAAGGAUUAAGGAUUAGGAGAGAGUAAAUUAGGGAUUAGGGGUUUCCAAAUCCAAGUAGGUAAGGGGUUUACUUCCUUGCGCCCAAAGGACAAUAUCUUCAAACGUUAGGGUUCUACUAGCAGUCUAGCACGCAGAGGAAACAAGAUCUAGAGUGAGAAACUAGACAGAGUGUGUGGACUUGGUUGACAAGUAGCAAGUCUCUGUAUUUUUAUAGGGAUUUGAUCGUAAUGAUCUAAGAUCGCCAACGGGAAUUUUUGCCCUCCAUUUAUUUAUUCUGAAGACAAACGUAAACUUGAAUUUGUCCAAAAUAACUUCUCUUUUAGAAAUGAAAGAGAAAGAAAGAUAUACGAGCAGGAUCAUCGUUAGGCAUCGACAACUCUUUUAACUCUUCAGUAUUUAGUUACCAUUUUUCUCUCCAUCUUCGUCACCAUGCAGGAAGGAACAAGUAGGGAUAUCUUGCAUCGAUGCUCUACAUCUCUCUCUCUCAACCCCAACUCACGCACUGCCAACCACCGCCGGCUCUGCCUCUUCGUCGGAUCUCCGAUUAUCCCUCCACUCCCUUCCCUCUCCCCCAGUCCAAUAAACCAAAAAAAUCCGAGGAUUGGUUUGGUUCUCACAAAUUUGUAUAAAGUGUCGUUUGAUAAACUAUUAUUUUUAUUCUUUUUUUUAUUUUUAUUUUUAUUUUAAAUUAAAAACUUGUUUAGUAAUUAUUUUCAGAGCUAUUCUCGUGCACAUUUGGAAUUCGGCUUAUUUUUAGUUUUCAGAUUCUGGAGAAAUGAAAAUUUAUUUCGUAUCUAUAUUCAAACAGCCCUUAGUAAUUUGUACCUAAAUCAAACAAACUAUAAGGGCGAAAGUGGAAAACUCAAAGUUCUGGGUGUUGGGUCCACAUAAGUGUUUUUUUUUUGUAAUAAAAGAGAACUGUUAUUAACACUUUAAAAUUUUCAUUCUACAAUCAUUUAUUUUUCUUUCUAUCUAUAGAAAAUUUGGAGUGUAAAAUGAGAUUUUUGGAGUGCCAAUAACAUUUCCCUAUCUAAACGGUAAGUUAGGUAGACCAAAUUUUUAAAACAAAUUUUCAAACCAAAUGACGUGUCACCAAUUGGAAAUAAGCUUGUUAAUUAACACUUAAGUAAUAAUUCUUCCUUCAUGGCCAAACGCAUUUGGGCCGAUUCUUCUUCCCGACGACAUUGGUUUUCAUUCAUUCUUGCCAUUUCGCUAGCAAAUUGUGCACGUAUCUGAUCUUGGGACUUUCCUUUUCUCUUUGCUUCAUUUUGCUUAUCUCUACCCGGGGGCCUUGCAAAAGAAGGAGUUGGGUUCAUUUGUUUGACACCUUCAUUGUCGGCAAAAUUCACACCUUCAUUGACAUCAUUUGGGGGUGGGGCUUCACUAUGAAAUAAUCUUCCACAUUGUUGGUUCGCAUCGGUUCCCCAUGACACGCCCCGACCCUGAUAUUCCUCGAAUAUCAGGAUAGGCACGUGCUGGCCGACACCUGAGGGUGACGAAAGCCACUAAUUGAUACAAAAGCUAAGAAUAAGAAGUAAAUAAGGGUUAUGAAAUUUAAAUACAAAGAAUUAAUAAUUUAGGAACGUGCUCAGAGUAUACAACUAAACCUAAUCACUAAAAAGAAUUAAGAUAAAAUUGAAUGAAUAAAGAAGUGAGUCCUACAGUCGAGAGGAUCCGGAGAUGCUGCUGCGGAAGUGCCUUGACGUCAGGAUUAGGUGCCUUGAUUCUAAGUCCUGAAUGGGGGCGCAAAACAAAGGUGAGUGGACCAAGUUCAUAUGUACGAUAAUAAUGAAACAGUUAUCAAGAUACUAACCCCCAAAGUUUAUAUAAUGAAAACUACUAGCAUAAUAAGUGAUGGAUGAAAUAAAAAUCCUAGCAUGCCAAAUAUCUCAAAAACCAUAUAUAUAGCGAAAUAUCAUUCGCAGAAAUCAGAACAAUAAACGUAUCAUAAAUUGUCUCGUAAACGCGAUGUGCUGCUAGAAAGAUCACUGAAUAAAUAUAACUCCCGGCCCAAUGCCUGCACCUCAGUCUCUGUGCCCGUAGCCAGAGAUAACUCCCUCCCGGCCCAAUGCCUGUCUCCGUGUCCCUCAGCCUUUCGCUAGGGAUUAUUUCUCCCGGCCUACAUGCCAACACCAGAUCCUCGCCCCAGGCGGCAUAGUGUCUACUAGGUACGCACAAAUAUUUACGUCUCUCAUAAAUACCACUUCAUAGCAUAGGUUACCGAAAAUCGUCUACGCUAUAAAGAGGGUUCAAAAUCAUGUUCUAGCAUCCUAUCGUCACCUAUCAGAUAGUCUACCAGAUCAUGGUUUUUAUAGAAAAUAGAUAUAUUAAAAUAUCGCUCAAUAUAGGCUAACAAUUAAUUCUUCACCAAAACACGAGACGAUAAACAAUAUAUUUAAUCAACAGGCUUCACAUAAAUUAAAUUAUAAAUCUGUAGGUAUGCUAAUCAUUUAUGAAAUUAAAUUAUCAAAUCAUGUAAUUUGAUAAGGGGUCCACUCACAAAUAUUCCUUAGCAGGCGAGUUGCGCGAAUAAGGAUUUAGAAUUUCUCCACUAGCAAUUUUACCUAAGAACAAGAAUUGUACAAAUAAUAAAUAAAAGGAUUUUUCUAAAAGAUUGGUUUUGAAUUAAAUUAAAUUAGGGGGUUUGGGAUUGGAUGGGUUUAGGGUUUUUAAUGGGUUUUGGGAACCUAGGGCUUUUGGAUUUAAAAGGGUAUGGAAAGGGGUUUGGGCUUAAGCCCAAACAUAUAAACUUAAACACACACACACACACACACACACACACACACAGGCACAAGGCCCUCGGGCCUCACUAUAGAAAACAGGGCUUUAAGCUUAGGACAUAACCAGCCCUAGGCCAAAACAAAAACUAAGGCCCGAGCCCUUUGGGCUUUAAAAUUUAAAUAACUAAAAAUAAAAACUGAAAGGGUUGGGGUACUGGGUUUAAACAAAACGGGCCGGAGGCCCGCGGGGGAAAUGGGAGAGGCCGGUUGGCCUGUGGCUUGCCGAGAGAGAAGGCCGGAGCUGCUACAGCUCCGGUCACCUGAAAACUGGAGCUUCAAGCUCCGAUCUAGGUACGAACGUGAAGCACAAGGAGAGAGGAAGAGAUUUAUACCUUCCAAAUAUUGUAACUCGGUCGGAGGUGACCGGAAAAGUCCUCGGAGUGCACGGGUUCGCCGGAAAAGUGGGUGUGUUCACCCAAACCGUUUCCAAAGAAAAACCUACGUAAAAUGGAAGGUUUAGACUUCCAAAUCACCACCAAACUUCAAGCUAGGUACGAGAGUGAGAGAUUAGAGGCUUACCCGAACUGAAACAGGAAGAAGACUCGUCGGAGCUUUGCUCCGAGCCGUCUAUCUCGUUGGACAGGGGUCCCCGGGUUCGUGGGGAGUCUCUCCUGAUGGUGCUAAGGUCCUCGCGAGUCCAGGGGGAGGGAGAGAAAGGAGAGUUUGAGGGAGAGAGGGAGAGAGAGCUACGGGGAGAGACAGAACACGAAAAAGAAGAAGAAAUGAGGAAGGGGGGGUUCACGGGGAUAAAAAAAAAAUAAGAGGGGUGGACCCCUUGGCUCACCAAUUAAAAACUUAAAAAAACAUUUUUAAAAAGAAUGGGGGUGGGUUUUAACACCCCAUCUCGAACAAUCUUUGAGAAUGUUCCAAGCAUGAUGCAACUUAAAAGCUUGAUUUUUUGAUGUAGUUCUUGUCUUGUAAAUUGUCAUUGCUUUGUCACCCUAUGCAACAAAUACAUAAAAACAAUUAGUUGCAAAAUCCUAUUAUGUACAUGAUAAAUAAAAUAUCAACAAAGAAACUCACAAUUUUUUAGGCGCCCCUUCCACUAGGCAUGUCAACCAUGACUCUUUCCAAGCUUCCCUUCCACAAAGUGCAUGCUUUGUUGAUAAUCUUCCACCAAUCAUAAACACCACCAACUUCCCUUUGACCGGCGUUGGAGUUUUCAUGGAACUUAUCAACGAUUUUACCCCACAAAACCUUUCUAUUUUGAUUGGUGCCAACGACACCAUCUUCACUAACAGAAAUCCAUGCCAAACAUAAAGCAAUAUCUUCGUCAAAGGUCCAAUUACGACCUCUAACAUGCUCUUUUGCCAUCUUGAAAAAUUUGGAAAUGAGAAGAAAUGAUAGAAAGAAAAAUUGGAAGAAUUGUAGGAGAAAAGUGAGUUUUGUGUAGAUGUUUGAACAAAUACAUAGGUAUUUAUAGAGUUUUGGUUGAAUUUUAAGUUAAAUUAUUUUUUUUAAAUUAUUUUAGCCGUUAGAUUUAAAUUUGGACCGUUAGACCUUUUUCUUUUACCGUUAGAUUUGAUUAUAUUCGAUUAAGCCGUUGGAUUCAAUAAAUAUAUAAAUAUGAAACUAAAAAAAAACCAUUUGAAUGUGGACCGUCAACGGUCCAAUUACCACAGCCGUGUGAUGGAGAAAAUUAGCCGUUGGCUACAUAUUUUCUGACACCCCGGGGGACACACCCACGUGGGUGAGGGUCCACCUCGGCUGAAUGACUUGCGCGUCUGCGCGUGGAGGAAGUGUGGCUGGGCAUUUGGGCUUCACAGCACAAUUUCAGUCUCAUCCAUGGGUCCCACUUCAAUUUGUGGGCUAAAUUUGUGACCGGUAUUUGCCUUUAUUUUAAGUUUUAGGUUUUAGGUUUGGUUUAGGUUUUGGGUUGGAGUGGAUUUGGAGGGGGGAAGGGAAAAUUUAUGUUAUAAGUCACCAUUGGAGAUGGACUAAUGGAGAUGUUGAUGUUGUUGUGGUGAUGUUUGUUGGUAAGACAAGCCCUCGAAUGGGCUGAGAUAGAGAGAGCCGAGAGAGUGUAAGGGAGAGUGAGGGAAAAGAGAGAAAGAGGAAGACUUUUCAGAAAAAAAAUAAAAAGAAAAAAAAAGAAAAGAAAGGGAAAGGGAACCGGGGGACAAAACAAGGGGUGGGCCCUUGGGCACAUCAUUUAAGACCCAAAAAUCAUUUUAAAAGCAAGAUAAUCUCAAACCUAGUGAAAAUACAAUUUAAAUUAGGAAUAAGUGUAACACUUUAGCUUGAGGGGGUGUGUUAAGGAUACAAUAGGAGUACCAGUCAAUGAUGUACCUGAAUAAGAACUUACUUAGCUGUUAAGCUAUGAUUGCUAUUUAUACUUGUUGUACACACAGUUUGGAAUGAAUGAAAUAGACUCAUUUUCUCCACAACAACUUCUCUCUCUAAGUUUCUCUCACUACAAUUCUCUCUCUACUCCUAGCAUUUCUCUCACAGAGCAAUGAGUUUCUACAACAAGUUUGUUCUUUCAAUCCUGCAAUCCUGGUACAAUCUUGCAGGUUGAUGAUCAGCAACAAUCCUUACUCCACAACAGGCGCUAUUUCCUCAGUCUUCGGGAAUUCCAUCAAAGAACGUAUACGAAAGCCCAUGAAUAUGAUACUUUUUCUCCAGUAAAUCCAGAUCGGGAAUCUCCCCAGGAAUGUCAUACAAAACAUCAACCACCUCCGUCGUCUUCUUCUUCGUCUCCUUUUUCUUCUUCUCCUUCCUCUUCGUCUCCUUUUUACCUGCUGUUGAAGAAGUCGACGAUGAUUUUUUUACCUUUUCACCACAAGAAAACGACGAGCCAAUUUCUUUCUUGAUAACAAUAUUCUCACCAACAAGUUUCUCCUGGUUUUUCUGAUCUUUUAUUAUCUCGUGGGCGAUCUCAACUUCUUUUUGUUUACGACCAUUAGUAACUGGUGGAGUAUAAUCAUCAUCGCUCGAAAACUCCGUGGGAUCCGGCGCUGCUGCUCUCUCUUCUUGUUUUCUCUUCUGUCGAAGGCUGUAGUCACUUUUCGUGCCGUCGUUGGUGGCAGCGGUGGUGAUGUUGAGCUGCGGUGGAGGGGCGUUGGGAAGGGAGAGAGUAAAUGCUACUUCUUCCUCCUUAUCUCUCGUGCCUGCCCUUUUGGUGGUGGUCUGGAGAGGCGAUGGAGGGGCGUUGGGAGCGCACAUAUUAAGCACUACUUCUCUCGGCUUCUCUAUCGUGCCUGCCCUUUUGGUGGUGGGGUGGACCUGCGGUGGAGGGGCGUUGGGAGCAGAGUGAGCAAGCACUACUUCUUUCGGCUUGUCUCUCCUACCUGCCCUUUUGGUGGUGGCGGAGCGGAGAUGCGGCGGAGGAAGGGCACUGGGAGCCGCGAGAGCAAGCACCACUUGUCUCAGCGGCAUCUCUCUCGUUUUUCGGUUUCUCGAGUGGGAGUUGCUUGAUCCCUCCAUGAGUCCUGAGUGUUUCGUUUCACAAGGUACGUAUAUGAAAAAUGGUCAAUGUUAGAGAGAGAAAGUAGAAAGAGAAAGAAAGUAGCAAGUGUAGUCCAUGUAAAAGAACUCAACAGUAUCGUUGUAAGCGCCGUCGCGUUCAGUUACGUGGGCCUCGGCAGGACACCACCCCUCCACUCGCGUCUGAAAAUCGUCCUCCCAUCUCUUUAAAUAAAAAAUCCCAAACCUUUCUGUAAUCUCUUUCUCUCUCUCUCUCUCUCUCUCUCUCUCUCUCUCUCUCUCUCUCUCCCCUCCUUUGUCUCUUUGAAAUUCGAAAACCCUAGAAAAAAUUUGUCAGUAUGAGCUAAAUCAAUCUUCUAAUGGUGUGAUUCUUUGCGAUGCGCAUAUAUAUAUAUAGGCAGUGAGAUCGUUUCUUGUAUAUAUAUAAGAGGAAUGCAAAGUUGGUGCUUUAUACGUUUUCCUGCCUUAUCUGGAAAUUUUCUCGAACGCGGAUGUGUAGAUGGCUAAUUUCCAGAAGCCUCACUUUAUGGAAUUUUCCACAAGUAUUUCCAAAUAAUGAAAGAAAUGUCCUUUUUAAUGGAAAAUCAAUAAAAAUCUUAGACAAAUAUAAUAAAACUAACUUAGCUUCUCAAUUUGAGUAGAAGUUUUGAAUUUCCUAUGUGGUCGAUUUACGAGACUUCAUACUUAUAAUCAGAACUGUUUAUAUUGUAAAUAACUAUGUAAAGAUCAUAUGUGUAAAAAACUAAUAAAUUAUGAGAUCGUUCAGUUAUUGAAUUGUAUAAAAACUUCACUUUUAUGGAGCAAAACUCUUCUAGAAAUAUUAUUUGUCAUAAAAUAGUUUUAUAAUAUUAACAAUGAAUAAAUUAAUAUUUUGUGCUUUUAAAAGAAGGUGAAUUCAAUCUUAAUAUUUUUUAUAUUGUUGCAGCUUAGUCAAAAAGGCAAUAUGGUGUUUCCCUCUGCCUCAAAUCCUCAAGUAAUUUAAUUUACAAUAAUACUAGGGAGACUAAAUUUGUAAACUAAAUUUUAAAAACUGAGGGCACUAGUACAAAAACAUACUUGAGCGGCGGAGAAAAUUGCGUCGCGCAAAGUAUGUUUGCGCAACGGUGACAACAAAACGUCAUCCAAAGGCAUUUUGCGCAACGAAACUUUGAGCGACUAAGAUCUCUGUCGCGCAAAACAGCGCACGACGAAGUCGUCGUGCAAUGUUAGGGAAAAAGCGAUAAAAGUCUUGGUUUGACGCCAAAAUCUUGCACGACGCACAGGUGUGUCGUGCAAACGUCCUUUGCACGAUGAAGGUGUGCAUUCAUUUCGUAAACCUUGUAGUCACAGACCCUGCGCGACGGUUUGCACGCGACGAAGAUGUCGUUAGGCAAAUUUUCAGACAACGUUUUUUGACUUUGCGCAACGAAGGCACCUGCGUCGCACAACUGUUUUUUGUACUAGUGAAGACAUGAAAGUUAAUGAUUGGUUUAUUACUUAAGUGUUGAUAAACGUGUUCAUUCCUAUUGGUGGCACAUCAUUUAGUUUGCAAUUUAGUCUCCAAAUUUAAUCUUCCUAACAUUACCCAUUAGUUUAAUUUGUAUAAAUGAUUUUAUUUUUUGCCAAAAGAAAAGUUGUUUUUUUUCAUAAAAAAUGAUAUCUAAAACUACAUUAAUGAAACACUCUUUGUCAACUAAAAGAAUGUGAAAAGACAUCUUUGUCUUCUACCACAACAAAAAAGUUAAAGACAGUAACAUAAUUUUACAAAACAAAAUUUUGUUGUUUUUACCUGUCCUUUUGGUGGUGGCGGAGCGGAGAUGCGGAGGAGGAAGGGCACUGGGAGCCGCGAGAGCAAGCACCACUUGUCUCAGCGGCAUCUCUCUCGUUUUUCGGUUUCUCGAGUGGGAGUUGCUUGAUCCCUCCAUGAGUCCUGAGUGUUUCUUUUCACAAGGUAAGUAUAUGAAAAAUGGUCAAUGUUAGAGAGAGAAAGAAAGCAGCAAGUGCAGUCCUUGCAAAAGAACUCAACGGUAUUGUUGUAAGCGCCGUCGUUCUUAGCGUUCAGUUAGGUCGGCCUCGGCAGGGCACCAACCACGGCGUCCUUGCCUCCACUCGCGUCUGAAAAUCAUCCGCCCAUCUCUUUAAAU
rnacentral:lncRNA from 1 species